AUGAUCAUUGGCAGCCUCGACAGAUUUAUUACGACCUGGGAGGAGUGGAAAGAACCUUUGAUUGUAGAAGGGGUUCAUUUAAGCCUGAAUUUUGUGAUGGGGCUGAUGAAGAAACAUCCCUCAGUGAUACCACUUAUGGUAUACAUCAUGAACAAGGAGAAGCACAUGGAACGGUUUGCGGUCCGCGCAAAGUACAUGACGCUUGACCUGGCGAAGAACAGAUACGUUAAAUACAUCCAGAACAUCAGAGCGAUCCAGGAGUACCUCUGCAACCGGGCCGACAAGCAUCAAGUGCCAAAAAUCAACAACACCAAUGUAGACUGGAAAAUGGCGGCCAUACACGCCACGGUUUUCAUCUGCCUUCGCCGGCGUGAGGCCAGGGAGCAGUUUUAUGACUCGCAUACAAACACUGCAGUUAUGGUGGAUGAGGAGUAUAGGAGCCAGUGCGCCGCAAACUCGUUGAGUUCCAAGGGCAUGUUUCAGUUGAUUCAGAGGCAAGGGUCCUCUAGAAAUCUGAUGGCUCUGCUUAACACUGAUGGUUCAGUUGCUAAGGCAUGGCCCAUGAAUGCCGGCGACAGCAGUGGAAACAUGAAUGAUGGCAGCAGUGAGAAAUCCGUUGGAAAUCCUAUGUAUGGCCCUUAG
rnacentral:rRNA from 1 species